UACGAAGGGGGCAAGCGUUGUCCGGAAUCAUUGGGCGUAAAGAGCGUGUAGGCGGCCCGGUAAGUCCGAUGUGAAAGUCCAGGGCUCAACCCUGGGAUGCCGGUGGAUACUGUCGGGCUCGAGUCCGGAAGAGGAGUGUGGAAUUCCUGGUGUAGCGGUGAAAUGCGCAGAUAUCAGGAGGAACACCAAUGGCGAAGGCAGCUCUCUGGGUCGUGACUGACGCUGAGACGCGAAAGCUUGGGGAGCAAACAGG
rnacentral:rRNA from 1 species